rnacentral:rRNA from 1 species
CCUACGGGAGGCUGCAGUGAGGAAUAUUGGUCAAUGGACGAGAGUCUGAACCAGCAAAGUAGCGUGAAGGAUGACUGCCCUAUGGGUUGUAAACUUCUUUUAUAUGGGAAUAAAAUGUUCCACGUGUGGGAUUUUGUAUGUACCAUAUGAAUAAGGAUCGGCUAACUCCGUGCCAGCAGCCGCGGUAAUACGGAGGAUCCGAGCGUUAUCCGGAUUUAUUGGGUUUAAAGGGAGCGUAGGUGGAUUGUUAAGUCAGUUGUGAAAGUUUGCGGCUCAACCGUAAAAUUGCAGUUGAAACUGGGAGUCUUGAGUACAGUAGAGGUGAGCGGAAUUCGUGGUGUAGCGGUGAAAUGCUUAGAUAUCACGAAGAACUCCGAUUGCGAAGGCAGCUCACUGGACUGCAACUGACACUGAGGCUCGAAAGUGUGGGUAUCAAACAGGAUUAGAUACCCCAGUAGUC